GUAGGUUCUUGAGCAGAAGGAUUACAAAGGAAAAUAGAAUUUUAAAAGGAUCACUUCCUGCUUCAUUAGUGUCUACCAGACCCCAAGACCAUUAUUCUUCUCUUUAUGACCCAGGGACUAAUCCAUUCAACAAACAUUUAUGCACCCCUGCUAUGUAUGAGGCACUGCACCUGCUACUGGAGACACAUAAUCAAACAAGUUUCCAUUCUUGCCUUCAAGAAACUCAAAGCCUUUCUUCGCUGGUUCUUAUUACAGGAUUUUUUGGGGAAGGAUUACUAAAGGGACACCAGAGGGAGUCUGAUAUUGUGAAACACAGCUCUAGCCUGCAAAAUUAGGGAUUUGGCUUCUGACCCUGAUCUCAGCCUCAAUCUGUCAGUUGACUUCAGGCAAGUCAUUAAUUUUUUGCCAUUUUAGUUGAAUUAAGUGUAAAGUAGAAAGACUAAUCAAGUCUACCCUUCUGAUUCCAUAAUCCAACAUAUGCAGAAACCAUUUAAAAAUUUCAAAUAAGUUUACCUGUUUAAAAUAUUAUUAUUUGCCUGUAUACUAUGGUUUGGUAUGAUGAAGAAUACAGGAGCUUGGAGAGGGAAAGAUCUAAUUUCAGUUCCAUAUCUGCUAAUUUUGUGACUUGAGGUAAAUCCCUUACUUUAUUCAAGUCCUCAUAAAUCCACUUUUUCACGGUGCUUUUUUAAUUGCUUAAUUAUAUUUUCUAAUCUUUUGUUAAAGAUUUCUGCAUCUCUAUUCAUGAGGGAUUAUGACUCUCUUUUUUUGUACUGUCUUUGUCUGUAAUGAAUUAGGAAAUGUUUUCUCCUCUUCUGUUUCUGGAAGAGAUUGUAUAGAAUUGGUGUUAACUUUUUUUUUUUUUUAAUGUUAGGUAGAAAUCUUCAGUGGAAGCAUAAUUUCUGCUUCAAUCAUCAAACAUGACUUAGAAAUUGUGAGGGGAGGGAUCCCUGGGUGGCGCAGCGGUUUGGCGCCUGCCUUUGGCCCAGGGCACGAUCCUGGAGACCUGGGAUCGAAUCCCACGUCGGGCUCCCGGUGCAUGGAGCCUGCUUCUCUCUCUGCCUCUCUCUCUCUCUCCCCUCUGUGCAUUCUCAUGGAUGAAUAAAUAAAAUCUUAAAAAAAAAAAAAAAAGAAAU
rnacentral:lncRNA from 12 species